CCCAGGUCAGGCGAGGCCA
rnacentral:rRNA from 1 species